UACGGAGGAUCCGAGCGUUAUCCGGAUUUAUUGGGUUUAAAGGGUGCGCAGGCGGGAUAUUAAGUCGGCGGUGAAAGUUUGCAGCUUAACUGUAAAAUUGCCGUUGAUACUGGUAUUCUUGAGUGUAUAUGAAGUAGGCGGAAUUUGUAGUGUAGCGGUGAAAUGCAUAGAUAUUACAAGGAACUCCAAUUGCGAAGGCAGCUUACUAAACUACUACUGACGCUCAUGCACGAAGGCGUGGGGAUCAAACAGGAUUAGAUACCCGUGUAGU
rnacentral:rRNA from 1 species